rnacentral:RNase_P_RNA from 1 species
UGGGUCGGCCAGACGGUCGCGUUGCGGGCAACCGCACCGAGGAACGUCCGGGCUCCACAGGGCAGGGCGGUGGGUAACACCCACCCGGAGUAAUCCGCGAGACAGUGCCACAGAGAGUAGACCGCCGAGCUUGCUCGGUAAGGGUGAAAGGGUGGUGUAAGAGACCACCGGGGUCAUGGUGACAUGACUCGCACGGUAAACCUCGCCCGGAGCAAGGCCAGACAGGGGAUGUUGACGCGGCUCGCCGAGUCCCCGGGUAGGCCGCUAGAGCGCUACGGCAACGUCGCGCCGAGAGAGAUGGCCGUCAGAGGGAGCAAUCCCCGAACAGAACCCGGCGUAUCGGCCGACCCAUUCC